rnacentral:rRNA from 1 species
AAUACAUCGGAACGUACCUUAUCGUGGGGGAUAACGCAGCGAAAGUUGCGCUAAUACCGCAUACGCCCUGAGGGGGAAAGCGGGGGACCGUAAGGCCUCGCGCGAUUAGAGCGGCCGAUGUCUGAUUAGCUUGUUGGUGAGGUAAAAGCUCACCAAGGCGAUGAUCAGUAGCUGGUCUGAGAGGACGAUCAGCCACACUGGGACUGAGACACGGCCCAGACUCCUACGGGAGGCAGCAGUGGGGAAUUUUGGACAAUGGGGGCAACCCUGAUCCAGCAAUGCCGCGUGAGUGAAGAAGGCCUUCGGGUUGUAAAGCUCUUUUGUCAGGGAAGAAACAGCAGCUCUAACACAGUCUGCGAAUGACGGUACCUGAAGAAUAAGCACCGGCUAACUACGUGCCAGCAGCCGCGGUAAUACGUAGGGUGCGAGCGUUAAUCGGAAUUACUGGGCGUAAAGCGUGCGCAGGCGGUUAUACAAGACAGGCGUGAAAUCCCCGGGCUUAACCUGGGAAUGGCGUCUGUGACUGUAUAGCUAGAGUGUGUCAGAGGGGGGUGGAAUUCCACGUGUAGCAGUGAAAUGCGUAGAUAUGUGGAGGAACACCAAUGGCGAAGGCAGCCCCCUGGGAUACACUGACGCUCAUG